rnacentral:rRNA from 1 species
AAUAGUUGUGAAGGGAUAAAUUUAAAAAUCGAGUUUGAACUCAUGAGAGGUGUUAAAGCAGGCAUAUUACCUUUUGUAUAAGGGGGGCAGAAGAUUAGUUGAGGAUGCGCGUACCCCAAACCCUAAGAUAUUGGGCCCAAUUACUGCAAAAAUGCGGGAGUUAGGGUCUAAAGUAGUGAAACUCUAUCGGUUAGGGUAUAAGUGGGCGGAUAGUAAGGGGGUAAGUCUCUUUAAGGGUUUUAAUGACAAGAAUAUUAUGAUAAUGCUUUAAAGUGUAAUAGUGUUAUUACAAACUGAGGGUGUAUAGAAUUUAUUUAUGGUAAACCCACCGAAUUAAAAGAAUGGUUUUAAGGACUUAAUCUGCCUAUGAGUAUUUAAACUAUAAAGGUAGUAGGACGUAGACGCAAUAUUUAAAUUGGGCCUCUUAAUAAAUGUUUAUUAAAAACAUUUCUAUAUCUGUAUAUAGUAUCCCCUGCCCACUAAAAAGUUGAAGGGCCGUAGUAAGUUGACUGUGCUAAGGUAGCAUAAUAAUUAGGUUGUUUAUUGCAAUCUGGAAUGAAGGGGGGAAUAUUUGAGAGGGAGUGAUUGAAGCGUGAGAAGAAAUUACUUUAAAGUGAAAAUGCUUUAAGAUAAAAAAAGACGGAAAGACCCCGGGAGCUGGGUAAAUACUUACUUUGUUGGGGCAAUAGGUGAAAGGAAAAAUUUCAUUGUGAGAGUUACUCCGGGGAUAACAGGGCUAUCAACCUGACGGGUUGGUUUGCUACCUCGAUGUUGGAUCACCCAUCAAGUAGUCUGUUCGACUUUAGGAGGGUACGUAAUCUGAGUUUAGAUCGGCGUGAGCCAGAUCGGUUCUUAUCUUUUAGAGACUUUUUGUAGUACGAAAGGGGGCAAGAGGGCCAAU